UCCUUUCUCUAUAUAUUUCAGUCCUUCUACGCUCUCUCUCAAUUCUCUCUUUCCCAGGGCAUGGAGGGAUAUCAACAUCUCAUUCUUGAUGACAGCACCACUGUACAUUCCACAACUGGAGUGAUUUCACAUAUUUUCAGGGCACAAGACUGGGAUUUAAGGAGAGCCAUAGAGAGAGGGAGAGGAAGAGAUAGAGAGAGAGAGAAAGUAAGCCCACCCCUAUUCCCCGUCUUAUCGACGGCCAACCGGCGUACAUGGUGAGGCGCCUCCUGAAGGUUCAACCGCAGGGCAGGGGAUUCCAGUACCUCGUUGACUGGGAGGGUUACGGCCUGGGGGAGAGGUGCUGGGUCCCCGCUAGGGACAUCCUGGACCCAGGCCUCAUCGCUGAGUUCCAACGCCGGCACCCCGGUCAACCAGGUAUGCGUCCAGAUCGUUUUGUUUCGUGAAGCCUACCAGCAUUUUGGCCCAUACUCCGUUCUGCCUGCCCUGACCCCGAGCCUGCCAGUCAUUCUGUACCUUCUCACACCACCCUGGAUUACUGACCUCUGCCUUCCCUGACCCUAAGCCUGCCUGCCGUUCUGUGUCUUUCGGACUCUGCUCUGGACUACUGACCUCUGCCUGCCCUUGACCUGUUGUUUGCCUGCCCCCCUGUAUUUGUAAAAAACUUUUGUUACUUCAAAACUGUCUGCAUUUGGGUCUUCUCCUAAGCCUUGACAGCAACAACAACAAGAAAUAGUUACACAAAGUAAAUGGCUCAGUAGAAUAGAUGACAUUAUUUAACUUAAGUAUAAUACAGGAUGGUACAAUUUAUAUUCCAAUAUUAAGAGUUGGUGUUGUGCAAAGAAACACAGUUGUGGUUGAACAGACUGUACAGCAGAGAGCUGAGGACACACCCCAGUGAUACCUUGUGUUGAGAGUCAGUGUGCAAGAGUUGUUGUUGCCAAUCAUCACAGCCUGUGGUCUGUCAAUCAUGAUGUCCAAGAUCCAGUUGCAUAGGGUGGUGUCCAGAUCCAGGGCUCUGGGUUUAGAAGGACAAUAUUGUUGAAUGCUGAACUGUAGUCAAUGAAUAGCAUUCUAACAUAGGUGUAGUCACAACUUCCGCUGAAGUUGUUCCCUCUCCAUGUUCGUGCAGUGUUCGAUGUCACCGACCUUCUAGCCAUCGCUGAUCCAUUUUUCAUUUUCCAUUGGUUUUGUCUUGUCUUCCAUCACACCUGGUUCCAAUCCCAUCAAUUACAUGUUGAUUAUUUAACUUCUUGGUGACAGGGGGGCAGUAUUGAGUAGCUUGGUUGAAUAAGGUUCCCAGAGUAAACUGCCUGCUACUCUGUCCCAGAUGCUAAUAUAUGCAUGUCAUUAGUAGUAUUGGAUAGAAAACACUCUGAAGUUUCUACAACUGUUUGAAUGAUGUCUGUGAGUAUAACAUAACUCAUAUGGCAGGCGAAAAACUGAGAAAAUCCAACCAGGAAGUGGGAAAUCUGAGGUUUGUAGUUUUUCAACUCUUUGCCAUUCCAAUAUACAGUGUAAAUGGGGUCAUGUUCCCAAGGCUUCCACUAGAAGUCAACAGUCUUUAGAACGUUGUUUCAGGCUUCUAAUGUUAAGUGGGGAGCGAAUGAGAGGGGAUUGAAUCAGGUGUCUGGCAGAGUGCCACAGGCUCUGAGGCGGGUCAUGAAAGAUGUUAGCUCUUGUUCCAUUGCUUUUCUACAGACAGAGGAAUUCUCCGGUUGGAACAUUAUUGAACAUUUAUGAUAAAAACAUCCUAAAGAUUGUUUUUAUACUUAGUUUGACAAGUUUCUUCGGGCUGUAAUAUAACUUUUUGAACUUUUUGUCCAACGUUCGGCUGGAACUGAACUCACGUUUGGACUAGUUUACCAAACGCGCUAACAAAAGAAGCUAUUUGGACAUAAAUGAUGAACUUUAUCGAACAAAUCAAACAUUUAUUGUGGAACUGGGAUACCUGGGAGUGCAUUCUGAUAAAGAUCAUCAAAGGUAAAUGAAUAUUUAUAAUGCUAUUUCUGACUAAUGUUGACUACACAGUAUGGUGGAUAUCUUUUUGGCUGCUUUGUUGUCUGAACGCCGUACUCGGAUUAUUGCAUGGUUUGCUUUUUCCUUACAUUUAAAAUAAAACAUGACACAGCGGUUGAGUUAAGGAGAAGUACAUCUCUAAUUCCAUGUAUAACACUUAUUUUCAUCAACAUUUAUGAUGAGUAUUUCUGUGAAUUGAUGUGGCUCUCUGCACAAUCACCGCAUGUUUUAGAACUACUGAACGUAACGCGGCAAUGUAAAAUUUGAUUAUUUGAUAUAAAUAUGCACUUUAUCGAACAAAACACACAUGUAUUGUAUAACAUGAAGUCCUAUGAGUGUCAUCUGAUGAAGAUCAUCAAAGGUUAGUGAUUAAUUUAAUCUCUAUUUGUGCCUUUUGGUGGAGUUGGUGGUGACCGAACAUAAUUGUUUGUGGUGCUUUCGCUGUAAAGCAAUUUUGAAAUCAGACACUGUGUCUGGAUUAACGAGAAUUUUAUCUUUAAAAUUUUGUAAAAUACUUGUAUGCUUGAGGAAUUUUGAUUAUGAGAAUUUUGUUGUUUUGAAUUUGGCGCCCUGCACUUUCACUGGCUGUUGGCGAGGUGGGACGCUACCGUCCCACAUAUGCCAGAGAGGUUAACCCUCUGUUUCCCCUCAUGUCCUUGUCGGUGAUUGUUUAUUGUUAAGUGUAUGUCUACGUCUGUACUGGUGCGCGUCGGGUUAUGUUACCCAUUUGGGUUUUUGUAAAUAAACUGCGCCGUUGGAAACACA